rnacentral:misc_RNA from 1 species
AACCAUAGAAACCUGCGGAGUACCUGCGGAAGGAUCAUUACCGAGUUUACAACUCCCAAACCCCUGUGAACAUACCUAUACGUUGCCUCGGCGGAUCAGCCCGCGCCCUGUAAAAAGGGACGGCCCGCCCGAGGACCCCUAAACUCUGUUUUUAGUGGAACUUCUGAGUAAAACAAACAAAUAAAUCAAAACUUUCAACAAUGGAUCU